GCCCGGUUAGCUCAAUCGGUAGAGCGUGAGACUCUUAAUCUCAAGGUUGCGGGUUAGUGACUUCUUUCAAGCA
rnacentral:tRNA from 1 species